ACCCCCAAGUGGCUUUGAAGUGUGUUUUACACAAGAUCUCACAGAAGAAAAUGAAUGAAAAGAGGCUGUCACUUCGAGAGGAACAACGUAUCUGUUGCCAAUGAUAAAAACUUGAGCUUUCAAGGGAAAAUUAGAAACUCGGGAAAACUUGUCUUCACUGCAGUGAGUUUGACAGCUUUCCAAUACUUGCAAGACUUUUUGAUACGAUCCGCGGUGUAUUAUUGAAAUAUAUAUAUAAAAUGUGUCAAUAUUUGAGAGAUCUGUGUAACUCAGUGAACCAAUAUUUUCCAAAUGACCAAUGCAUGCCUGUUAUAAAACUAUGCAUGGAAAAAGAGCAUUCACGCUAUAAGAGGAACCAUGGGAUUUUAAUAUAACAGAGUAUGAAAAAUUCAUUAAUCUGGUUUCAGAUUCCACACUGCAACUAACUUUUCAGAAACUAUCACUUGUCAAGUUUUCAUGUGGUAUCAAGGAAAUACCCACCAUUAUCUAUCUGAAAAGGUUACUAAGAUAUUUCCCCCUUUUCCAAUUAUAUAUUUUUGCAAAGGUGGAUUUUCUUUAUAUACUUAAACUGAAAAAACAUAACUCAACAUAUUAAAUGCAGCAAGCAGAUAUGAGAAUCCAGCUUUUAUUAAGUGUGACAUAAAACAGAUGGAUGCGCAGAAAUAUCAAGUAAUGACACCUUUCUUACUAAUUUGUUUUAGAAAACACUGUUAUUUCUUUAAAUGGCUUUAUUAAGGUAUAAUUGAGAUACAAUAAAACACCCAUGUUUAAGUUC